rnacentral:tRNA from 1 species
CGGGUGUAGCUCAAAGGUAGAGCCCUAGCCUUCCAAGCUAGUCAUGAGGGUUCGAUUCCCUUCACCC